ACAAAAUGUGUGCAUGAUAAAAAUGGUCUUUCAAGUCCUUCCGACAGCAUAUCAUUUUGAGUCAAAAUAUCAAAAAUUUCGAAAGUUAUGGGCCGUUGAAUAGAGCGAUCUCAAACGAGCUGGGCUGCAGCGGCCGGGUGCUCUGCGGCGGCGAAACUAGUUCCGAUUUUAGGCUUGCUUUUUACGUGAAUGAGGAAGGUGGCUUGUAUGGACCUGGAAUAGCUGACUAGGCAUUUUUUCUGCGGCGGACAGAUCUUCCACCAGCGGGAAAAGUCGACGCCGACCACCCGCCAUUGAUGGCCCCCCUCCCCCCUUUUUAUGUAACGGCCCAACAAAUUUUUUAGUAUUACAAUAAAUAUGAAAAAAUAAUUGUGGAAAA